rnacentral:rRNA from 1 species
CCUACGGGUGGCAGCAGUGGGGGAUAUUGCACAAUGGGGGAAACCCUGAUGCAGCGACGCCGCGUGUGGGAAGACGGUCCUCUGGAUUGUAAACCACUGUCCCCAGGGACGAAGAUGACGGUACCUGGGGAGGAAGCUCCGGCUAACUACGUGCCAGCAGCCGCGGUAAUACGUAGGGGGCGAGGGUUGUCCGGAAUUACUGGGUGAAAAGGGAGCGUAGGCGGGACUGCAAGUUGGGUGUCAAAUCUACCGGCUCAACCGGUAGCCGCACUCAAAACUGCAGUUCUUGAGUGAAGUAGAGGCAGGCGGAAUUCCUAGUGUAGCGGUGAAAUGCGUAGAUAUUAGGAGGAACACCAGUGGCGAAGGCGGCCUGCUGGGCUUUUACUGACGCUGAGGCACGAAGGCCAGGGGAGCGAAAGGGAUUAGAUACCCUAGUAGUC